AAACACAUUAUCGCCUUUCUCAAGUGGCCGAUCAAGAGACACUAGCUUAAGCGUGACCCCGACCGCCCCCGCCUUUGGGAUUUUUUCCUCUGUUUGCCGAAAAGGAGAUUCCCUGUCGGAAUAUUAUCGCUUUUCUACGAGAAAAAUGUCGUAAAAAUUGAUUUUAAACAGCGGUUGACAUGCUUCGAAGUAUGGUAAUGGAAUACUUAGAAUUUUAUUGUCACGAAUUGCGCCAAGCGCGUGACACUUCUUUACUAUUUCGGAUAGUGUCUGGAACGCACGAACAAAACGCCGCUAUUCGGAUAUAACGAUGGAUUAUUUUGGACCAAACCAACAUUUGUUAUUGAAGUAGCAGUCCUGGGUGUGUAUUCUGACAAAGACAACAAAAGAGAAUGAAAGUUGUGGACUGGAAAAUAAAGCUACGGAAUGUCCUGCAAAUUCCAAGUCCACGGUUUGGGCACAGGAAUGUCUGCCAAUCACACUUCCACUUCCUAAUCCGAGCCACAAAACCUGCAAUGCUCUGUCCACAAAGCUGUGAAAUCAAUCCCAGGAUAUCUAUGUAUUUCCAUUUUCAGUGGGUCAAGACUUCUGGAGAGGCAAAACAUUGAGGAAGUAGGAUGGAAUAUCAGUGCUCUUCAAUGAGUGUGAGUGGAGUCCACGUGGAUUGAGCAUUGGGAGAGAUCUGUUCUAAACUUCUCUCAUGUUGCUGUUAUUCUGGUUGACGAAUGGACAAGAAAUAAUGGGUGGUAAAGGUGAGACAUUGAAAUUGGGACAUUAUCAUGGGCCAUCCACUUUGAACUGUAAAGCUAUCUGAAGAAGAACGAAAAGGAUGCCAGAAGAAUCAGUGCCUGGAAGAGAGGGUUGGUCAAACUGUGCCCAAAAAAUUGUUUUAGACUUUUGGGGUAUCAGGUUGAUUGUAGACGUCUACACCAUGCAAAAUGAUAGUAAUUUAGAUUAAGAAUGCAUUGAGAUACUGAUCUGUAUUAUAAUCGUGAUAAAAAAGUUAAUAGUAGAAUUAUGGGAUAAUUAUACUAGAUGUUAAUAUAAAUGUACAUUCUGCCAAUGUUGAUGUGUGUUUAUAUAGAGUUUUUACUUUGAGUGAUA
rnacentral:lncRNA from 1 species